UACGUAGGUGACAAGCGUUGUCCGGAUUUACUGGGCGUAAAGGGCGCGUAGGCGGCGCAACAAGUCACUUGUGAAAUCUCCGGGCUUAACCCGGAGCGGUCAAGUGAUACUGUCGUGCUAGAGUGCGGAAGGGGCUACUGGAAUUCUCGGUGUAGCGGUGAAAUGCGUAGAUAUCGAGAGGAACACCUGCGGCGAAGGCGGGUAGCUGGGCCGACACUGACGCUGAUGCGCGAAAGCCAGGGGAGCGAACGGG
rnacentral:rRNA from 1 species